GCAGCUCAGUUGGUUAGAGCAUGGUGCUGACAGUGGCAAGGUUUCUGGUUCGAUCCCAGCUGCA